GCAGACACAUUCCAGCCAAUCAGCAGCAGACCCUCCCUCCCAGACCCUCCCACCUCCUGGACAGCAUCCAUUUUACAUUCAUUGUGAAGCUGCAUUCUUAGUGAGCUGUCCAGGAGGUGGGAGGGUCUGGGAGGGAGGGUCUGCUGCUGAUUGGCUGGAAUGUGUCCG